rnacentral:rRNA from 1 species
ACUCCUACGGGAGGCAGCAGUUAGGAAUAUUCGGCAAUGGGGAAGCCAUCGACCGAGCGACACUGCGUGAAGGAGGAAGGCCUUAGGGAGCUUGUAAACUUCUGAACGAGAGACGAUAAUGACGGUAUCUCGGUAAUAGCACCGGCUAACUACGUGCCAGCAGCCGCGGUAAUACGUAGGGUGCAAGCGUUGUCCGGAAUUAUUGGGCGUAAAGAGCUCGUAGGCGGUUUGUCACGUCUGCUGUGAAAAUCCAAGGCUCAACCUUGGACUUGCAGUGGGUACGGGCAGGCUAGAGUGCGGUAGGGGAGAUGGGAAUUCCUGGUGUAGCGGUGGAAUGCGCAGAUAUCAGGAGGAACACCAAUGGCGAAGGCACAUCUCUGGGCCGUAACUGACGCUGAGGAGCGAAAGCGUGGGGAGCGAACAGGAUUAGAUA